ensembl:lncRNA
GCAGAAAACGAGAUAGUGAGAAGAACAUCUGUGCACUCCAGUGUGAUCUAAAUGGUCAAAGUCUUUCUUGUAACUCAAUCUUGGCCGCAGUGCUUUACCAAAGCAGGACCUUCUAAAGCAGCAACGCUGGCAUCCAUCUCUGUCAUUGUUUUACUGGUGAUUCUCUGCUCUUUGGGCAUCAUCGCCUUAAUGUAUCAAAGGAAGUCAAAAAAGCACAUCCCAGUGCAGACGCCAGAUGAAGUAAAACCCAUGAAUCCUGGCUCAUCUGAAGUGGACUCGUAGAUACUGUAGUACCCUGUGGCUUUCCCACUGACUCUUACCCUCACAUAGAACUGGACUCUGGUCAGAUGGUGUUUGUCACAGCCUAAUAACUUCCAACAACACCAUUCCCAAAUCAUCAGGGCUAUCUUGCUAUUAUUUUAGUUGUUUAUAUAGCCUAAGAAGCUUAAUAAAAAAUAAAUAAAUAAAAAAAGACUACUCAGUUGUGAUAGGUUUGUAGCUUGAACCCAUCCGCUGGAACGUUGAAGACAAUAUAAUUACACUGCAAAGCAAGACACAAGUAGGCAAGCUUCUUCAUGUUUC